UACGUAGGGACCAAGCGUUGUUCGGAUUUACUGGGCGUAAAAGGGUGCGUAGGCGGCCUGUUAAGUCAGGGGUGAAAGACGGUAGCUCAACUAUCGCAGUGCCCUUGAUACUGAUGGGCUUGAAUUGACUAGAGGGUAGGCGGAAUGUGACAAGUAGCGGUGAAAUGCAUAGAUAUGUCACAGAACACCGAUUGCGAAGGCAGCUUACUAUGGUCUUAUUGACGCUGAGGCACGAAAGCGUGGGGGAUCAAAACAGG
rnacentral:rRNA from 1 species